UACCAGCCCUCCGAGUGGUAGGGAUGAUUAUUGGGCUUAAAGCGUCCGUAGCCGGCUUAGCAAGUCUCCUGUUAAAUUCAGCGACCGAAUCGUUGAGCCGCGGGAGAUACUACUAGGCUAGGAGGCGGGAGAGGUCGACGGUACUUCUGGGGUAGGGGUGAAAUCCUAUAAUCCCGGGAGGACCACCAGUGGCGAAGGCUGUCGACUAGAACGCGCUCGACGGUGAGGGACGAAAGCUGGGGGAGCGAACCGGAUUAGAUACCCGGGUAGUCCCAGCUGUAAACGAUGCGGGCUAGGUGUUGGGGUGGCUACGUGCCACUUCAGUGCCGCAGGGAAGCCAUUAAGCCCGCCGCCUGGGGAGUACGGCCGCAAGGCUGAAACUUAAAGGAAUUGGCGGGGAGCACCACAAGGCGUGAAGCUUGAGGUUC
rnacentral:rRNA from 1 species